AGCAAGCUCCAGGCUCUGAGCUGUCAGCACAGAGCCCGACGCGGGGCUUGAACUCACAGACUGCAAGAUCAUGACCUGAGCCGAAGUCGGACGCUCAACCGACUGAGCCACCCAGGCACCCCAAACAGAAGCUUUUAAAGAUGUAACUCCAUGGGGCGCCUGGAAAUGAUUAUAAUCAAAAGUCAGAUACCAAUUUUCAGAUGAGACCCUUAAAGAUUUUGCCCCAAACUAAAGAAACCCCAAACAAACCCAUUUUGUUUGCUUGUUCACCCAUCCCUUACAAGAACCUCCUUCUCUUUUUUUUAAUGUUUAUUUAUUUUUCAGAGAGAGAGAAAAAAAAAAACAAACAAACAGCAGGGGAGGGGCAAAGAGAAAGAGGGAGACACAGAAUCUGAAUCAGGCUCCAGGCUCUGAGUUGUCAGCACAGGGCCUAAUGUGGGGCUCAAAACCAUGAACCGUGAGAUCAUGCCCUGAGCCAAAGUCGGACGCUUAACCAACUGAGCCACCCAGGCACCCCAAGAACCUUCUUACCAUAAGGUGAAGUAGUAGCUAUUUUACAAGACAGAUGACAAACCCUAACCCCACUUCUUCCUAAGGCCACUGUCAGGAAGCACAAAUAAAUUAAUCCAUCCUCUA